rnacentral:lncRNA from 1 species
AUGAGGCUUGUCUGGUGCCAGGCCUCGCCUCCCCUUCUCGCUGUGUCUGCAUAUGGCCGUGUCGGGUCUGAGAGAGAGUGUGCCUGUGGGCUGGCAGCUGUACCCAUGCCGGCACUCAGGGCAGCGGCCAUAGCUCCACGUGGGACUCCUGGUGUACCAAAACGCAGACCAUCGUGCGCAAGCUCCUGUGCACAAUGGGGCAGGGUACUGUCCACAGGAGCACCUGUGCCUCGCCGUGCCCCUCACACUGCUCUACCUUCUAAUGUACAUGCAGGUGAAGCGAUGGCUGAGGAGCACUCCUGGGAAUCGCUUAUGGAAGACAACGCUCAAUCAGCCGCGCUGCUGCAGGAGCUGAUAGAGUGCAAGAAGAGGUCUGCGGAGCUGGCAGCUGCUGUCAGGGAAAAGGCAAAAAUCCGCAAGGCACUACAGGAAGAUGUGCAGAUGGAGAUGAAGCAACUCCAGAAGGCACAGGAGAACACCAAAAGGCGCACUGCCCCGUGGAAGAUUACACACAGGGAAGAGCAUAUGACUUCCUUGAUGCAAGAGAUGGUGGCUGUGCGAGUGGAUGAGCAGAUGGCAGCAAAGCGACGUCCACUCACAACCUGGCUGCGGAAGUUUCUGCUGUUCUUGGGCCUACUGCAGCUUGCCUUUGUCAUCCUGGUCCUGCUGAAGAGGGACAUCCUCCACUGGGUCCUACCUAUGGAGCUGGCGACUGCCCUUGGCAGCCAUCCACCAAAACCCUCUCUUUUCUGACCCCAGAACGCGCUGCAGCCCUUUGUUGCGGCACCAUUGGGUCUGCACAGGUGGUUUCUGCAUUCUUUGGCUUACUGCACCUUUUCUUUGUCAUCCUGGUCCUGCUGCAAAGGGACAUAAUCAACAGGGUCCUAUCUCCAGAGCUGGCAACUGCCCUUGGCAGCAAUCCACCAACACCUGUUUUUUUCUGACCCCAGAACACACCGCAGCCCUUCACUGUGACACCACUGGGUCUGCACAGGCAUUAGGUGUGCCAGCCUUGUCACCAAUAACAUCAAUAAAAUCCAUCCCCAUUCCA